CUACGGGAUGCAGCAGUCGAGAAUCUUUUACAAUGCACGAAAGUGUGAUAAAGCGAGCCAGAGUGUUUUCCGCAUAGGAAAACUUUUCUUUGUUGUAAAAAGACAGAGGAAUAAGGAGUGGGUAAGACCGGUGCCAGCCGCCGCGGUAAUACCGGCAGUCCAAGUUGCAACCAUUAUUAUUGGGUCUAAAACAUCCGUAGCUUGUCUGAAAAGUUUUUUGUGAAAUCCCAUGUCUCAAGCACGGGGCGGGCGAAAAAUACUAUCAGACUAGAGACCGGUAGAUGCAAAGAGUACGGCUAAGGUAAUAGUAAAAUAUGUUAAUCUUGGUUGGACUAACAACUAGCGAAGGCACUUUGCAAGAACGGAUCUGACAGUGAGGGAUGAAGGCCAGGGGCGCAAAACGGAUUAGAUACCCUCGUAGUC
rnacentral:rRNA from 1 species